UGCCUACGGGUGGCAGCAGUGGGGAAUCUUGCGCAAUGGGCGAAAGCCUGACGCAGCGACGCCGCGUGAGCGAUGAAGGCCCUCGGGUCGUAAAGCUCUGUGGGGAGGAAAGAAUACGGUUCGGCCAACACCCGGACCGAUGACGGUACCUCCUUAGCAAGCACCGGCUAACUCUGUGCCAGCAGCCGCGGUAAUACAGAGGGUGCAAACGUUGUUCGGAAUUACUGGGCGUAAAGCGCGUGUAGGCGGCGGGGUAAGUCGGGUGUGAAAGCCCACGGCUCAACCGGGGAAGUGCACUCGAAACGGCCCCGCUAGAGUCUCGGAGAGGAAGGCGGAAUGCUCGGUGUAGAGGUGAAAUUCGUAGAUAUCGAGCGGAACACCGGUGGCGAAGGCGGCCUUCUGGACGAUGACUGACGCUGAGACGCGAAAGCGUGGGGAGCAAACAGGAUUAGAUACCCUAGUAGUCA
rnacentral:rRNA from 1 species